CAAUAGCGUAUAUUAACGUUGUUGCAGUUAAAAAGCUCGUAGUUGGAUUUCUGGAGGGAGCGUCGGCCCGUAUUUACGAGUGCGUGACGUCUCUGUCCAUCCUUGCGGGAAGCCACGGCAUUGAUUUGUUGUGUCGGAUCGCAUCAUUUACUGUGAAAAAAUUAGAGUGUUCAAAGCAGGCUUUCGCUUGAAUACAUUAGCAUGGAAUAAUAAGAUAGGACUUUGGUGCUAUUUUGUUGGUUGAGCCUAAAGUAAUGAUUAAUAGGGAUAGUUGGGGGCACCUGUAUUGCGUUGUCAGAGGUGAAAUUCUUGGAUUUACGCAAGACAAACAGCUGCGAAANCGNNNGCCAAGGAUGUUUUCAUNAA
rnacentral:rRNA from 1 species